rnacentral:lncRNA from 1 species
CCCAGUCUGGGGCUCACUGCUGUGAAGUGUCCUCAGUCCCUGCAGUUCGCACCAACGACUCCCGGCUGCCUACAAGCGAGGUGCAGGAGGCCAGCCCUGAGUUGUCCCCAGAGGAGAGAAGGGUCUUGGAAAGGAAACUGAAGAAGGAACGGAAGAAGGAAGAGAAGAAGCGGCUGCGGGAGGCAGGCAUUGCCACAGCACAGACUGCCAAGGUUCAGACUCCGCCAGCCAAGCCCUCAGCUGCUGUCCUGGCCCUGGAGUACCUCCAAGGGUGGGCUGAGAAGCAAGAGAGCUGGAGAUUCCAGAAGACGAGGCAGACAUGGCUCUUGCUACACAUGUACGAUGAGGACAAGGUUCCUGAACAGCACUUUUCUACCCUGCUGGACUACCUCGAGGGGCUCAGGGGCAGUGCCCGAGAGCUGACAGUGCAGAAGGCCGAGACCCUGAUGCAGGAGCUGGAUGGGACGGACCCCAAGGCCAGGUCUCUGGGGAAGAUGCAGCGCCUCCGGCAGGUGCUCCAGCUGCUCUCCUAGCGGAGGAGCCGCCUUGGCCCCGAGGACGCACUGCUACCUCUUCCCAGAGCUGUGGGAGCCAACGGGUCACCAGCAGGUCAUCUGGCUCGAGGACUUCCUUCCAAAGUCCUUCCAUCCCCCUCCUAUAAGCUGUAACAGUUUCUGGUGCCUUGGGAGUUGAACAUGGUCUCCCUGAAAUAGUUCUAAGGUGCCACUCCUGCAUGAGUGGCCCUGAAGUGGCUGUGAACAGAGUCUUCUUUUUCUACCAAGGGUAUCUUAAAGGUUGGCCCAAGCCUGCAGCCUGGGUGCAGCUCACCAGUCUUCAGGGAGACCCUAUUGAGGGCUCGUAUUGAGGCCCCUGGGCCUGUGUGGCUGCCCCAUGAUCCCUACUCAGUUUGGCAGUCACAGCUGUCCCUAGUGUCAGCACUGGGCCAGCUCCUUCUCACUGAACCUCUUGGCCAGCACAUUGGAAACAGAAGGACUAAGCAUCUGUAUCUGGGCCCAUGACACCAUCAGAACACACGCUCCACUCCCAUUGGAUGACUUUUCAGACCAUAAAGAAUCGCCCAUCGAUGCCACACAGGGAGGGCACUGACAGGCUAGAGAGGAUCUGGUGCGAGUCUGGCUCAGGGAGUAGUGAGUUCACUGGGGUCUGCAAAUGGGAACCACGGCCUGUGUCCGCCUUCAGCCUCUCCCGCUUCCAGCCACAGCUUCUUGACCUCCUUAUCCACGGCCCUUUGCAUCAGUCACUUUUAUACCCCAGGUAUAGAGGUUUAUAAAAGAGAUUUACAGAAAAAUAUAUGCCAUAUCUCAAGAAAUUUAUUAAAACAAUUCUGAAUACAAAUAAUUUC